GACGAACCGUGCGAACGUUGUUCGGAAUCACUGGGCUUAAAGGGCGCGUAGGCGGCUUGGCAAGUCCGGGGUGAAAGCCCCCAGCUCAACUGGGGAAGUGCCUUGGAUACUGCCAAGCUCGAGCGAGAUAGGGGUCGUGGGAACUUCUGGUGUAGCGGUGAAAUGCGUAGAUAUCAGGAGGAACACCGGUGGUGUAGACGGCUUUCUGGACCGUAACUGACGCUGAGACACGAAAGCGUGGGUAGCAAACAGG
rnacentral:rRNA from 1 species